AAUUAGCUACAUUACAUUAAGCUAAGCCAAUGUAAAUCUUGUAGUGUUAUGUUGCUUUAUGUAAAAUCAAGCUGCAUGUCCACAAGGUCCAUCACAAGGUAAGUAUCUCUCUUCCUUUGAAUUAUUCACUUGCGUUUGAGUAAUGUAACUAAAUCCCCCUCCCUUUCUCUUCUCCAGUCUCUCUUCACUGUCCAUGUUCAACAGGAGGAGUAUCUCACAGCAGAGUGAGGAAGAAAUCAAGAGGACCACAGCUGAUCUCGUGCCAAGCUCCAGAAGACUACAGCAGCUCACUCUUCAGUGAAGAAAGCAACCCAGCAGAAGAACGAAGAACAACAGACUCGGGAAGAACACCUCCAGAAUACUACACCAGCUCACUCUCCAGUGAAGACAGCAACCAAGCAAAAGAAUG